rnacentral:rRNA from 1 species
GUGGGGAAUAUUGCACAAUGGGCGAAAGCCUGAUGCAGCGACGCCGCGUGAACGAAGAAGUAUUUCGGUAUGUAAAGUUCUAUCAGCAGGGAAGAAGAAAUGACGGUACCUGACUAAGAAGCUCCGGCUAAAUACGUGCCAGCAGCCGCGGUAAUACGUAUGGAGCAAGCGUUAUCCGGAUUUACUGGGUGUAAAGGGAGCGUAGGCGGUCUUAUAAGUCUGAUGUGAAAGCCCGGGGCUCAACCCCGGGACUGCAUUGGAAACUGUAGGACUAGAGUGUCGGAGGGGUAAGUGGAAUUCCUAGUGUAGCGGUGAAAUGCGUAGAUAUUAGGAGGAACACCAGUGGCGAAGGCGGCUUACUGGACGAUUACUGACGCUGAGGCUCGAAAGCGUGGGGAGCAAACAGGAUUAGAAACCCUAGUAGUCC